CUUUACUCCAUCCUGUCGCAUCAGAGAACAUGGCGGCUGCCCCUGGUGCGGCAAAGGGGCUCGACCAGGCCGGGUUUCGGCCGCUGGAGAUGAAUGAUUCAGGAUGUGAAAAUAUUGGGCAGAAGAAUUCUGCUGCUAUAGCAUAGUUGUAGAGGACAGACAUGAUCCUGGGAAAAGGUGUGGCUGCUUUGAAGAGUUUCUGACAGAUUCUGUGCUUAUCUGAGUUUUGAAUCCAGACUUGAAGCUUAAAAACGGACAAAACAAGCAUUGAGUGGUUUUAGUAUUUUCAAGACUAUUUAAAUCCAGAGAUGAAAAGAUGCUUCAAGCGGGAGGUAAAACAUGAUCGUUGCAUCUGUCAAGCCUCUUUAAUGAAGCUCCAGUUUGACCUCCCGGACACACAGCGAUUACCGUAUGCAAGAAAAAUACUUGUUUGUGUUAAGAAACCACCAAGGUGCCACAAACAAUUGUGCUAUGUCAUCACUGCCAGGUCAUUGUGGUAGCUUUUUAAUUCAAAUCUGUAUUGUGCAAGCCCAGGGAGAGUUCUGGCAUCUUUGUUGUCAACUGUUGAAGCAAGCAUAUUCCAUUUACUACAACCUACAACUUUUUUUUUUUUUGCUUCAACUCGAUGUAGUUGUAUAACCCUAGUAAUUUUCUUUUCAAUGAAAAUUCCUGAAUCAUUUAUUUUAGCAUUAUAAAUAUAGUGGUAGGGUAAAAUAAUAGCCAUAAUAAUGUUUAAAUUAAGGACUUUAAAAAUUAAUACUGAAUUAAAGUUAGAAUGAUUUUUAUAAUUUCUGAAUCUUAUCCACCUAUUAGAAAUCCAAAUAUUUGCAUUCCUAAUAACAUUUGCUAAUAUUAGAUUCAGUUUCUUUCCUGAUUGAUAGUGAAAUACUUCCAGUCUGCAGAAAUGAUGUUUGAUUUAAGUGGUAGUUGUAUUGUCUGUUGUAUACAGAUUAUGACCACCACUUGGUGGCACUACCUGGUUUCAAGUAAAGUAAGCAGUAUUCUGGUUCUGGAAAUUGAACAGUAAUUCAUACAAGAAGAAUCACUGUAGCUGAUGCAAAAUAAAAAAAAAAGUGUAAUUAUAUGAAUUAAAAAGUGAAGUUUAACUUUUCCUUACAUUCUUUCUUGGAUAUGCAUCCAUCAGUUUUACAUAUAACUUGAGGUGCAGACUUUUGGAGCCAGCUGCUUUGGUCAUUUAUCUCUUCAGGCAGCUCAGCUCAGUAUAACUUUUGAAUUAGUUGAGGUGUCCCAGUUUCUUUUCAGGUGAAGUUGUCAUGGGAAUCGGUAGGUUUCUGCUCCCAGAAUAUUUGACAAUCUUACCUUGGUAUUUUAAUAGGGGAAAAUAGAGUCCAUAGCAUUUUGACUAUUUGUAUCGCUACAUAAGUUUUUUUUAUAUUUCAGUUUAGAUAUUGCUUGAUAAUUACAAUCUUAGAUAAUGAUUUGAAAAUGUAUUAUAUAACAUUUAUCUCCAUAAAAUCGAGUUUUCAUAUAUUGUAACAAUGCUUUUCAGUGGAAACAUUGUGAGGUGGGUUGGGCUGAAAGGGAGUGAUUGGCCCAAUUCAUACGUCCAUUUGUGAAUCAUUAGGUGCAAAAUUAGUAAUUUUAUAUAUAAACAUGGAGUGACUUUUAAAUAUUUUACAUUGGAAGGGAAAUUGUUCAAAUAGAUUCGCUAAGUGCUUUACUGUUAGGAUUAUGAUUGAAGCAGAAGUAGAUUUAUGUCCAGUUUGAUCUAGUUAAGGCAUCAGGUUAGGAACAGCUGAUUGUGAGUUCUAGUUCUAUCUUAGAUUCAAAGCCAGCUGGAUGACAAUUAAUUUCUCUUAGCUUUAGGAAGGAAACAAGGACAAAUCAGUUCUGAAAAACCUUGCCAACAAAACUGCAGAGACUUGUCCUGGCACUAUCUGGGAGACAAUGCUGUCACGAAAAUACAACAACAACAAAAAAAUCUUACUAGAGAAAAUAUUGAUCAAGAUAUUUGAACAAAAUAUUGGAUUAUCUAAAGAAGGGUCUCCAUAAAAAACCCACCUGACUGAUUUAUAAGUAAUGCUUUAUCUAUUUUUCUUCUUUCAACAUAAGAUUUCAUCAAAUCCGAUUAAAGAGGAGAAAGUCAGUUUUAGAAUACAUUGUAUGAACCGUAUAUAAAUAAAUCUGUAUUAACUACUGGUAUAAAAAUGUAGUUUCUGUGUUAGAUGUUUGUCCUGAUUAACGUAAAUAAUGGUUGUUAGAGCAACAUCUAUGGGUAUGGUCUUAAAUUAUUGAAAUUUAUACUAAACGGAUCUCUCAGCAAUUGCAAGUGAAACAAAAAUUGCUUAUGUAAUAAGCAAAAACUUGUUAGCAGCUUUAAUGAGUGUUGAAUUGCAGCUAGAGGAAACUGCUGGUUAUUUACCACUGAAAAGAUACUCAUUUUAAAGAUAGUUAUGUGACAAAGGUGCACGCUAUGCGAAUUCUUAGUACACAAAAAACUAACAUUUCACUAUUCUAAAUUGAAAAGUUUAUGGUAUCAAUUUAUUUCAGGUAAUUGUUUUAUCCUUUUCAGAUAGGUACAGUUUGUUAAUAGAACAUGCAUAAUGCAUUCUAUUAAUGUUCAAAGAGAAUAACCCACUCUAAAUAGAUUAAAGGCUCUGGUUAUUUAUUGGGAUGUAGAUAUGACAACAUUUAACUUAGUUUAGGUAAUGUCAGGACAGAAUUUGGAGAAGAGACUAGUACAUCUUAGACUAGAUCAGAUUGGAUUGUGAAAAACAUUUGGGAAAAAGAAGAAAGAAGUGACUUAUUAUUUCUAUAUUGUUGACCAGAAAACUACAUUUUUGUGUCCAUAAAGGCACCAGAAAUUAAGCUCAGUUCAAGAGGCUUUACCUUUUUAAAGUUGGCAGAACCUAGUCAAUUUACUGAUCAUGAAAAAUCAAUCUCAUCCACAAUACUUUUUAAUACACUGCCUAAAUAAUAGCAAUAGCACUUAGACCUGUAUACUGUUUCAUAGUGCUUUACAG